rnacentral:lncRNA from 1 species
ACCUAGGUGCACCAACAACUAUCUCCUGGCAUGCCUGUGCCUGCACGUCUUCAUUUAUCAUCAGAGAACAGAGGAUGCACAGUCCUUUUAGCAACCUGGACAGACCAGAGUGAAAGGGGCUUCGGAUCAGGAGAAAGGGGUGUGUCCUUCUAUUUACAUCUGCCUGGCAAAAAACUGUAUGCGAGCCUGGAAGAAGGACAGAGCCCAACAGAUAUCAUGGAUUUUGACUCUCACUGCUUCCUUUGGCUGCUAGUUUUUGCAGGGCCUGGACUCUUUCAUUUUCUACUCCUCCAGGAUCAAUGACACACAACAGUGAGAUGCCUGGUAAGGGGACAAGUACAGCAGCCUCUUGCCCCAAAAGAAGCCAAGCCAUUCAGCCCUCAGGGGUACUGAGCCCACAUCAUCAACCUCAAUUCACACCAGAUUUUAACAACUAAAGAAAUAAAAGCUGCAAGCAAUCUAAUUGUCCUCUUCUUUAUUACUACUAGUGGCAGUGUUCUAUCCAUAUUUACCUCCUAAGAUUCAAAUUCCCGGGCAAGCUACAGUGAAAAGAAUGACAUCACAGCAAAAUAACUAUUGCGAUGUGAACGGC